rnacentral:rRNA from 1 species
UACGUAGGGUGCGAGCGUUGUCCGGAAUUACUGGGCGUAAAGAGCUCGUAGGUGGUUUGUCGCGUUGUUCGUGAAAUGCCACAGCUUAACUGUGGGCGUGCGGGCGAUACGGGCAGACUGGAGUACUGCAGGGGAGACUGGAAUUCCUGGUGUAGCGGUGGAAUGCGUAGAGAUCCGGAGGAACACCAGCGGCGAAGGCGGCAUCCUGGACUGGUCCUGACACUCAGGAGCGAAAGCGUGGGGAGCGAUCCGG